AAGAAAAGGCUGGAUUGAACAUCAUGCCUGAGGGAAGAUAAGUCAUUCCAGGGAAAAAGGUGGCAUUCAUAUUUGUCCCAACCAUUGGUGAAGUGUACAUGCCAUUUAAAGAAUCUUGAGGAACCUGAUUCUGAUGGUUGGGUUGACUAGAAACCGAGAAUAAAGAUUCAGACAGUGAAUCCUUAGAAUCUCCUUCAUCUUUGCUCUUCAAGGCCUCUUCAUGGAUGGACAAACCACUCAUUAAGUCAUUAACAUCUUUCCUAGCAUGUUCUUG
rnacentral:misc_RNA from 1 species